CUGGUGAGGCCACACCUGGAGUAUUGCGUCCAGUUUUGGCCCCCCCACUACAGAAAGGAAGUGGACAAAUUGGAGAGAGUCCAGCAGAGAGCAACGAAAAUGAUUAGGGGGCUGGAGCACAUGACUUAUGAGGAGAGGCUGAGGGAACCGGGGUUAUUUAGUCUGCAGAAGAGAAGAGUGAGGGGUGAUUUGAUAGUAGCUUUCAACUACCUGAAUUCUAAGGUUCCAAAGAGGAUGGAGCUCGGCUGUUCUCAGUGGUGACAGAUGACAAAACAAGGAGUAAUGGUCUCAAGUUGCAGUUGGAGAGGUUUAGGUUGGAUAUUAGGAAAAACUAUUUCACUAGGAGGGUGGUAAAGCACUGGAAUGGGUUACCUAGGGAGGUGGUGGAAUCUCCAUCCUUAGAGGUUUUUAAGGCCCUACUUGACAAAGCCUUGGCUGGGAUGAUUUAGUUGGUGUUGGUCCUGCUUUGAGCAGGGGGUUGGACUAGAUGACCUCCUGAGGUCCCUUCCAACCAUGAUAUUCUAUGAUUCUUGUGCAUGAAACUGCCCUGUACUUUACAGUGCAUAUUACUUAGCUGCUGUAUAAUAGUGAAUCUUUGUAUAAUAGUGAUAGCUGCUGUAAUUUCCAAUAGUUUACAGCAAUAUGGUAAAGAAAGUGAGCAAAAUGUACUACAACUUUACAGCUUAGCAGCUGUCUACUGAUGUUUCAAUUUCAGAUAAGUAUCAAAGCAAUGAGAGGUGUUUCCUUUCAUUAUUGCUUUUGGCAAAAAAAAGGACUUCAAAAUUUCAAUUUUCAACCCUUUUGGACACAAAUAUCCUGGAUGUGAAUAUGUGUAUAUAUCAUUGUGAAGUGACAUUUUAUGAACUCUAUCUGUCCUUCAUCUCAUACAUGUCUACUUCAUAACUAUGAGAAAAUCAUCUGCCAGACAAUUUAUAAAAUUCAGUUUAUUCUUUCUACUGUCAUGGUCACAACAGUGAAAUAAGCAAACUGACAUUUGAAUCUUUCCACAUUCAUUCACUGCAUUAUAAAGAUUUGAUCCAGGCCACUGGCAUUUGCCUUUUGGAUUUGGAUGAAGAUGCUUAAAGAAGCUAUCAUUGCAAAUAUACAUACAACCCUCUUGAUCAGAAUGAAAUAAAAAGGCUUGAUAAUAGACUGUGUAAGAGACC
rnacentral:lncRNA from 1 species